rnacentral:tRNA from 1 species
CAGAAAAUAGUUUAGUUAAGAAUCC